rnacentral:rRNA from 1 species
ACUCCUACGGGAGGCAGCAGUGGGGAAUUUUGGACAAUGGGCGAAAGCCUGAUCCAGCCAUGCCGCGUGCAGGAUGAAGGCCUUCGGGUUGUAAACUGCUUUUGUACGGAACGAAACGGCCUUUUCUAAUAAAGAGGGCUAAUGACGGUACCGUAAGAAUAAGCACCGGCUAACUACGUGCCAGCAGCCGCGGUAAUACGUAGGGUGCAAGCGUUAAUCGGAAUUACUGGGCGUAAAGCGUGCGCAGGCGGUUAUGUAAGACAGUUGUGAAAUCCCCGGGCUCAACCUGGGAACUGCAUCUGUGACUGCAUAGCUAGAGUACGGUAGAGGGGGAUGGAAUUCCGCGUGUAGCAGUGAAAUGCGUAGAUAUGCGGAGGAACACCGAUGGCGAAGGCAAUCCCCUGGACCUGUACUGACGCUCAUGCACGAAAGCGUGGGGAGCAAACAGGAUUAGAUACCCCUGUAGUCCCAUG